rnacentral:lncRNA from 1 species
ACCUCCCAUCUUCCUUAUGUUCCUUUACUCUUUACCUCCAAGGCCCUGCCACCCACAUUAACCAAAAUAUUGGAGCAUUCCAGCUUCGUAUUACAGAAAAGCCCUCCCUCAUCACUAACACUCUUAAAAACAUCAGUAGCAACUUUUGCCUAGGAAGACAUUUACCCUGGCUCUCACUCCAUCCUUGGCUAUCCUUCCCCUGUUCAAUGGAUUCCCCUCCAAGGCCUUCUGCCUGCCUGUUUAUACCUAGUCUUAUAAAUAACAGUGAAUGGCUACUUACAGAUACCAAAUUCUUUUUUUCACACCAUUAAAACAGAACCUCUCCCUCUACACAGUUAUCCUACCAAACCCCACUACAACCUCUAAUAGCCGCUGCCCUUGCUGGAUCCCUAGGGCUCUGGGUGCAGGACUCUGCUUCCAGAACACACUCUCAUUUUUUUUACUCUCCACUUCCAGUUAUGCCUGCCUCAUGGACUCUUUUUGUUUCUGUUGGUUUUUCCGCAUACAUGUGCCUCCCUGCCAAUUGGACAGGCACCUUCACUUUAAUCUUCCUUACUCCCAAGAUCGAGUUUACAAAUGGAAACAAACAACUCCCCAUUCCCCUCAUAACUCCAACAUGACAAAAAAAAAAAAAAAAAAAAAGUCAUCCCAUUAACUCCCUUGCUUGUAGGAUUAGGAGUUUCAGCCACUGCCAGUGGAACAGGAAUAGCAGGUCUUAUAACUUCCAUCAACACGUUUUGCAGUCUUUUCAGUGACUUCUCCACUAGCCUUACUGAUAUAACUCAAACACUUUCUGUCCUCCAAACCCAGGUCGAUUCCUUAGCCGCAGCUGUCCUCCAAAAUCGCCAAGGCCUCGAUCUGCUUACUGCUGACAAAGGAGGACUCUGCCUAUUCUUAAAUGAAGAGUGCUGCUUUUACUUAAAUCAAUCAGGCCUUGUAUAUGACAACAUUAAAAAACUUAAAGACAGAGCCCAAAAGCUCACUAAUCAGGCAAAUAGUUAUACUGGCACUACCUGGCCAUUCUCUAGCUUAGAUUCAUGGUUCCUUCCACUGACAGGCCCCUUUGCACUCAUCCUUCUCCUCAUCUUAUUGGGACUUUGUCUUUUUAGACUCAUCUCUCAGUUCAUACAAAAUCGCAUCCAAGCUAUUACUAAUCAGUCAGUACGACAAAUGCCCCUUCUAGCAACUGCACAGUAUCCCCCUUACCCCAAGAUCUUUCUUCUGUUUAAUCUCUCCCACCUUAGGUUCCCACGCCGUCCCUAAGCCUGCUCGAAGAAGCCCUGAAAAACAUCGCCCAUCAUCUCUCCAUACCAUCCCCAAAAUUUUCACCACCCCAACAUUUCACUACUUUUUCUUGUUUUGUUUUGUUAGCAUAAAAAGACAGGAAUGUAAGGUCCUCUGAGCAGGCGGCGCCAUGGUCAAGCCAUCGUGACCCCUGUGACUCACACGUACACAUCCAGAAGGUCUCCUGGAGCCAGAAAGUCUGGGACGACAGGAAAACCACAAAAGAAGAAAAACGGCUAGUUCCUGUCUUAGCUGAUCAGCCAACCUUGUGACAUUCUAUCAUUGUAACAGGCUGUACCCUAACUGAUCAAUCAACCUCAUGACACUGUGCUCUGUAACCUUAUGAUAAUGUACCUUAUGACAUUCUUCCCCUGCCCUCAAUAAACAGCUCCGAACUAUAACUUUCCACUGCUUACCCCUAAAGUAUAAAACUAGCUCCAACCCCACCACUUCCUUUUCGGACUCAGCCCACCCGCACCCAGUGAAUAAACAACCUUGUUGCUCACACUUAGCCUGUUCAGGGUGUCUCUUCAAUUAGACGCACAC